UACGCCAAGGCUAUACACAACACAGUGAAGCUGAUGACAUAUUUCACACAAAUUACGUUUUCCUGAACAACUUUUAAGGAUUAUAUACGUGUAGUGGUGUAAUUUACCUAGUAUAGAUACUCUUUUACUGGGAUAUUUAUAAAUUAAUGUAAAUCAGUGCGAGGAAAGGUGGAUAAUAUUGGUAUUUGUGUGGAGUGAGAGACUUAAGCUUAGAUAUUGUUUGGUAAGGUUAAAGCUGUUUUAUUAUUACACCACCUACAGUCACAGCAAGAGUGUAAUGCAUAACUUGGAUCUCGUUACAAGAUCAAGCAGUUUGGUAUAUCUUCACAGGCACAUGUUAGUAAUCAUCCAAGGUUUUGAAAGAACAAUAUUACCACCAUUACGAUUAUUAGCAUGUAUAUGAACAUUUAAAGGCAAAGUGUUUUUUUUGUGUGCUAGUUUUAACGUGGUUUUACUGCAUAAGUGGGCUGUAUUCUCCAGUGCAGACUCCUUCACACUACUGGUACAAGUAAAUACAAUUGCACUGAACAAGAGAUUGUUUUCUCAAAUCUAACAAGAGUGAUUUAAAGAUGGCAGAGCUUGAAAAACAAGAUAUCCCAGCACCAUUGUCACCAGGGAAAGAAGAGAAGCUGGAUAGUCCACUGCAGGAGAAUCUCAGGGAAAACUUUGUUAUAUUAAAGAAUAUGUUGAUCAGCCCAGAUGACACUGUAUUUGAUCAACUUCGAUCUCAUCUUCAAGAGAAGAUCUGCGAUGGAAAUGGGGAGACUCUUUUUGAAGUGGGAGUUGGUGCAGAUGAUUCUGUUUGUGGACUGCCUGAAGAUGAGUAUGAAGCGUCAGUGGCCACGUUAAAGUCUUUGGCUGACACCCUUGAGGCAGACUGUAUUUUACUCCGAGAGAAAAAAUCUAAGACUGGUACUCAGGGGCAGUUUCUGGUGAGGAAGAAGGCUGAUGCAGAAGAUUUCAUGGAAGUCAGAGUGGCAGUAGUUGGAAAUGUAGAUGCAGGAAAGUCCACACUAUUAGGGGUCCUGACACAUGGUGAACUUGAUAAUGGCCGAGGUACUGCUCGCAUGAAACUGUUUCGUCAUAAACACGAGAUGGAGACAGGAAGGACUUCUUCUGUUGGAAAUGAUAUUCUUGGGUUUGAUAGUCGAGGAAAAGUUGUGAAUAAACCUGAUCACGGUCACCUGGAUUGGGUCAAGAUCUGUGAGGCAUCAAGCAAAGUGAUCACUUUCAUUGACUUGGCAGGCCAUGAACGAUACCUCAAGACAACUGUAUUUGGCAUGACUGGUCACCUUCCCGACUUCACAAUGCUCAUGGUUGGUGCCAAUGCUGGUGUUGUUGGUAUGACCAAAGAACAUCUGGGUCUGGCAUUGGCUCUUAAUGUACCUGUGUUUGUCAUUGUCACCAAGAUUGAUAUGUGUCCACCCAAUGUUCUACAAGACACUCUUAAGCUACUUCAUAAAAUAUUAAAGAGUGCCGGAUGUAGAAAAGUUCCCCUUUUGGUCAGGAAUGCCGAGGAUGUAGUUGUCUCUGCCACAAACUUUGUUUCGGAGAGGUUAUGUCCAAUAUUCCAAGUAUCUAACGUGUCCGGAGACAACCUGGACCUCUUGACCAUGUUCCUGAACCUCUUGUCAUCAAGAACACCCCAGAAUGACAAUGAUCCAGCACAGUUUCAGAUUGAUGACACUUACCAAGUUCCUGGUGUAGGUGUGGUUGUGUCGGGCACGUGUAUGAAGGGAAUCAUCAGGGUAAAUGAUACACUUCUUCUUGGUCCUAAUGGCUUGGGUGACUUCAUUCCUAUGCCCAUUAAAUCUAUCCAUCGGAAGCGAAUGCCAGUGCGUGAGGUAAGAGGAGGUCAGACUGCCUCAUUUGCCCUAAAGAAGAUCAAGAUCCAUGAUGUGCGGAAAGGACAGGUGCUGGUAGAUCCAUCUCUAAAUCCCUCAUCAUGCUGGGAAUUCAAGGGGGAGAUAUUGGUGUUACACCAUCCAACAACAAUCAGUACAAAAUACCAAGCUAUGGUUCAUGUGGGGUCUGUACGGCAGACGGCUUCCAUCAUUGCCAUGGACAAGGAGUGUCUAAGGACGGGAGACAAGGCUAUUGUUCACUUUAGGUUUAUCAAGCAUCCAGAAUACCUGAAGAAUGGACUAAAAAUGGUUUUCCGUGAGGGUCGCACCAAAGCUGUGGGUCGUGUGUUGGAGGUUAUUCCAAAGAUUGCCUCCCUACAGCACCAGAAGAAUCACAAAAUUAUGAAGAUGGUCAAACAGAAUGUUGGAGCGAGUGAAGGAGGACAGGCUGGAGGUGGAGAUGGGAGUGCAACACAGCAUCAGGGCCUCACAGGAGGAAACUUUGGAGGCACUAAAAAGCAGCGCAGUAGACGAGGAGGGAAACACAGGUACCUGGAAUGGCUGCACACACUAAAUAUGGCUCAUUUGGAGAAUGAAACAUUGAAACACCUCAACACAUCCAAUGUUGUAUGUAGCAGCCACUUACUCCACACCAAUAUACUGUACAGUCAGUGGACCUCCUGUUGUCCCAGCAGCAGAUAACAAUAACAAUUUACCAGAGAGAAAUGCUGAAGAAGUGUAAACCCUUUCUGUAGAGCCUAUCGAGGAUGACUGUGGUACUUUAACGGGCAAUGGUC
rnacentral:misc_RNA from 1 species